rnacentral:rRNA from 1 species
UACGAAGGGGGCUAGCGUUGUUCGGAAUCACUGGGCGUAAAGCGCACGCAGGCGGAUCGAUAAGUCGGGGGUGAAAGCCCGGGGCUCAACCUCGGAAUUGCCUUCGAUACUGUCGGUCUCGAGUCCGGGAGAGGUGAGUGGAAUUCCUAGUGUAGAGGUGAAAUUCGUAGAGAUUAGGUAGAACACCAGUGGCGAAGGCGGCUCACUGGCCCGGUUCUGACGAUCAGGUGCGAAAGCGUGGGGAGCAAACAGG